GAGUUGUAAUUUGCAGAGGAUGCUUCGGGUUCGGUGCCGGUCUAAGUUCCUUGGAACAGGACGUCAUAGAGGGUGAGAAUCCCGUAUGUGACCGGCCGCCACGCCCGUGUGAAGCUCCUUCGAUGAGUCGAGUUGUUUGGGAAUGCAGCUCAAAAUGGGUGGUAAAUUUCAUCUAAAGCUAAAUAUUGGCCAGAGACCGAUAGCGCACAAGUAGAGUGAUCGAAAGAUGAAAAGCACUUUGGAAAGAGAGUCAAACAGUACGUGAAAUUGUUGAAAGGGAAGCGCUUGCAACCAGACUUGUCCGCGGGUGAUCAGCCGGUAUUCUUACCGGUGCACUCACCCGUGGUCAGGCCAGCAUCGGUUUGGGCGGCUGGAUAAAGUCCCCCGGAAUGUAGCUCCUCUCGGGGAGUGUUAUAGCCGGAGGUGCCAUGCAGCCCGCCAGGACCGAGGACCGCGCUUCGGCUAGGAUGCUGGCGUAAUGGUCGUAAGCGACCCGUCUUGAAACACGGACCAAGGAGUCUAACAUCUAUGCGAGUGUUUGGGCGUCAAACCCAUGCGCGUAAUGAAAGUGAACGGAGGUGGGAACCCUUAAGGGUGCACCAUCGACCGAUCCUGAUGUCUUCGGAUGGAUUUGAGUAAGAGCAUAGCUGUUGGGACCCGAAAGAUGGUGAACUAUGCCUGAAUAGGGUGAAGCCAGAGGAAACUCUGGUGGAGGCUCGCAGCGGUUCUGACGUGCAAAUCG
rnacentral:rRNA from 1 species